rnacentral:rRNA from 1 species
CUGGCGGCAUGCCUAACACAUGCAAGUCGAACGAGAUCUUCGGAUCUAGUGGCGCACGGGUGCGUAACGCGUGGGAAUCUGCCCUUGGGUUCGGAAUAACAGUGAGAAAUUACUGCUAAUACCGGAUGAUGUCUUCGGACCAAAGAUUUAUCGCCCAAGGAUGAGCCCGCGUAGGAUUAGGUAGUUGGUGGGGUAAUGGCCUACCAAGCCGACGAUCCUUAGCUGGUCUGAGAGGAUGAUCAGCCACACUGGGACUGAGACACGGCCCAGACWCCUACGGGAGGCAGCAGUGGGGAAUAUUGGACAAUGGGCGAAAGCCUUGAUCCAGCAAUGCCGCGUGAGUGAUGAAGGCC